AAGAAAAUGAACCACACAUCGUGUGCAAUGUAGUGUUAUAUGCAUAUGCAUUAUGAUGGAGUCUUUAAUUACAUACUCUCAUCUUGUUUCCCACAGGAUCCCUGCCUCAUUCAGUACGCAGGACAGACACAUGGGAGAGAUUUAAGAGUGCAUAGGCAACCACCAAUUUAGCAGUUCCUGACUUGGCUUUUUUAAUCUAAUGCGGCGCUUCUAACUGUAUGUUUUUUUCUUCUCAUGUUCUUUUUUCAUUCUUAAUGUUACUGAUAUUUUCUAAAGAAAAAAUAAGAUAAAAAGACAAUGAGAUGCAGCUAUUAAUUAGAACAGAAAACAACACAUAGUUAAUUCUCCAAGCCUCAGCGUACCUUUGCCACUCUACUUAUACAUAAUCCCAAAGUCUGUGAUUUCAGGAAAAAAACAGCAGGUGUUUUUCCUACCUAGUCUACUCUGCCUAAAAGCUGGAGGAUUCAACUGCAGAUCUGUGAAGGAGGAGGAUUCAGGAACACUGCUAGUAGAUGCUUGGAAGUAUAAGAUAAAGAAGAUAAAGAAGAGCGCAGAACAAAAAUAGACUGCAUGUUCUUUCUUGUUUUCUGCAUACCAACAUGGUUCCAAUUCUUUUUUGAAAAAGAAAAUUUGUAUUUUAUAGCAGGUUCAGCAGUUAAAUUUUGUCUUUUUUUACAAAUACCUCCAAUAACAGUUUAUAUUGACUGCAAUAAACAUGUGUAAAUGAAAGCAGUCAUAGCUUUAUUUAACUGAAGUAAUAUUAAGACAUUGAAACUUUGUUGACAGAAACCCUUUUAGUGUCAUUAAGUCUGCUGCUAAUUUCUGAAGGUAAAAGUUUCCUCACAGAGGCUGCUAUGGGCAGUAGUUUCAUACAAAAAUGGGCACAGAUUCUGGGUUGUCUUUGCAAAUGGUUUCCUACAGUAGUAGAUUAACUCCCUAUGGACUAACAGAUGGAAGGUAAUUUGAAUGUUGCCUCUGAAAUCUGAACCCAGGCUGAAGAGGGAGUCCGAACCCCAAUUUUUAUUUAUUUAUUUUUUAAACUUCAGAUCAUCUGAUCCUAUAUAAAUGCAUUCUAGUAUGGAAAACAGCCCUGCUAAAUGAAUUUCAGACUAAACUUGAAAAUGCUUGAAAAGCUUUAAAGCUUUUAACCUUGAAUCCUAUUGUAGUUUGAAUGUUUUUUGUUGUUUAUUUGGGGAUUUUUUUUAUAUAUAUUUUUGAUAGGUAGGUAAGGAGGGUAUCAAAGUUUUUCCAUUCAGCUAUGCAUCUUUGAUCUCUGCUUCUAUUACAGGGUGAUUCUUCUGCUUGUUCUAGCAGCAGUAUCCCUAGUAUUAGGAAAAAACUUCACUGUGCAUGUUCCUCCCUGUAGACAAUGAAUAAAGUUCGUGUUC
rnacentral:lncRNA from 1 species